rnacentral:tRNA from 1 species
GAAGGUUGUGUUGUUGUCGCUGCUAACGAUGAUAUGGAUGUUGGAGCAUCCGACUUUCU